rnacentral:rRNA from 1 species
GACAGAGGGUGCGAACGUUGUUCGGAAUUACUGGGCGUAAAGCGCAUGUAGGCGGCAACGCAAGUCGGGCGUGAAAUCCCACGGCUCAACCGUGGAAGUGCACUCGAAACUGCGUAGCUAGAGUCCUGGAGAGGAAGGUGGAAUGCUUGGUGUAGAGGUGAAAUUCGUAGAUAUCAAGCGGAACACCGGUGGCGAAGGCGGCCUUCUGGACAGUGACUGACGCUGAGGUGCGAAAGCGUGGGGAGCAAACAGG